rnacentral:rRNA from 1 species
GACGUAGGGCGCGAGCGUUGUCCGGAUUUAUUGGGCGUAAAGAGCUCGUAGGCGGCUUGUUGCGUCAGCUGUGAAAACCCGCAGCUCAACUGUGGGCUUGCAGCUGAUACGGGCAGGCUUGAGUUCGGUAGGGGAGACUGGAAUUCCUGGUGUAGCGGUGAAAUGCGCAGAUAUCAGGAGGAACACCGGUGGCGAAGGCGACAUCCUGGACCAACACUGACGCUGAGUGAGCGAAAGCCAGGGGAGCAAACGGG